CCCCCUCUCACUGUUUCAGGUGGACUCUCCCCAGGAAGAGGAGCUCCUCUCUACUCUCAGCAGUCUGAGCGCUGAACUCUGCAAGCUGGACGACAUACACUGGAUCUGCCCUGCCAUGCACUGCUCUGAGGAGGUGGCUGACACUGUGAGGGUGAGCGGUAAGAGCAGUAUUAAGAUGAAGAUGAUGCCUAAGGUGAAGAGGGAGAGAGAGAAGCUCCACAAGCAGAAGUCCAAUAGCUCUCUGUCGGGAUCUUGGGAUAUUAAAGGUGGCGCAUAUGAGACGGCUCCUUCAGGCAAUUGAGGAACUUAGCACAAAUGCUUAACAAGGUACACCCAUCACCAUGGCAGCCAGGGGAGGCGAGGGGUGUCACCCUCUUCUUCCUACGAGAUGUAGGCUUUACCUACCGAGGGGUGAGAAGUACAGAAUGAUUCCACGACCCUCCCGCCUUUCAGCUAACACCUCCCCCUUGACUCUCGAUGUUCUCCAUUUUGAAAUUGGGGAGGAGUUGUUUUUAACUAGGGGGUGUGGCUUUGCAUCCUAUCACCAUUUUGGGUCCUGUUAUUGGUUCUAUUUGGCCUGCUGACCCAGGAUGUGGGCGUGGCUUCUUGAGAUGAAAGCAGAGGAGGAGAGAUGCUCUCUUAGCAACUUGUUUCCUUGACGACGCAAUGUGUUUACGUAGGCGGAGCUCUCCUUUGCAUGACAUGAGCAGCCAUUUUGUUUUUAUUCUUAGAUAACUCCUUUGUUUGGCAGGCGUUUACACUUCCUCUUUUCUCUCUCUUUUGUCAUCUUUAUUGACUUUCGCGACAACUUACAGGACUUUUUAGUUUCCUCAAGAAAUCUGAAGUCUGAAGACGACUUUGCUUUCUGUUUC